rnacentral:misc_RNA from 1 species
UUUAAGGGAGACCUUCAGGGAGUGGGAACCCAAAAAACACCCACAAUAUACUGAACAUCCCAAGGUCGAACCAGAAUAGUGAUGUCUCUUUCCAACUAAAGAUUAGGUUCAUAAAGCACCUUGAAAACUGCAUAGAAAAUAGGUAGAAAAAGAUAUCAAAUCAUAAUCUUGAUAUCCUGGUGAAUAAUGGUCAAGCUACAAAGAGCUAACGGUGGAUACCUAGGCACACAGAGGCGAGG